rnacentral:rRNA from 1 species
GACGAACGCUGGCGGCGUGCUUAACACAUGCAAGUCGAGCGAAGAAGACUGGUUCUUGGGCCGAUUUGAAAGGCAGCGAAGGGGAGCGUAACGUGUGUGGAAUCUGCCUUUGAGCGGGUGACAUUAAUUGGAAACGAAUGCUAAUAGAGCAUAAUAACUUUAAACAUGAUGUGUAAGUGUGAAAUAUGCAAGUUCAUGACGCAAAGAUGAUCCCGCGUUGUAUUAGCUAGCUGGUGUGGUAAAGGCUCACCAAGGCGAUGAUACAUAGCGGACCUGAGAGGGUGAGAUGCCACAUUGGGACUGAGACACGGCCCAAACUCUUACGGGAGGCAGCAGUAGGGAAUCUUCGGGGAUGGAAGAAAGUGUGACCAAGCAACGCCGCGUGAGUGAAGAAGGUAUCCGGGUCGUGAAACUCUGUAGGUAGAUAGGAUCGUUAGUGAGAGUGGGAAGCUAAGCAAGUGACGGUAACUACACAAGAAGCGACGGCUAACUACGUG